rnacentral:rRNA from 1 species
UACGAGUGGUGCAAGCGUUAUUCGGAAUCAUUGGGCGUAAAGGGUGUGUAGACGGUACACUAAGUCAGUUGUUUAAUUCUCCGGCCUAACCGGAGGACAGCAGCAGAAACUGGUGUGCUAGAGGGUGGAAGAGAGGGGUGGAAUUCUCGGAGUAGCGGUAAAAUGCGUAGAUCUCGAGAGGAACACCAAUGGCGAAGGCAGCUUCUUGGUCCAUGCCUGACGUUGAGACACGAAAGCGUGGGGAGCAAACAGG